rnacentral:rRNA from 1 species
AACGUAGGUGGCGAGCGUUAUCCGGAUUCACUGGGCGUAAAGCGCCUGCAGGCGGUCUUGUAAGUGGGGUGUGAAAUCUCCUGGCUUAACUGGGAGGGGCCAUUCCAUACUGCAGGACUGGAGGGCAGAAGAGGGGAGUGGAAUUCCCGGUGUAGUGGUGAAAUGCGUAGAUAUCGGGAGGAACACCAGUGGCGAAGGCGACUCCCUGGUCUGCUCCUGACGCUAAGAGGCGAAAGCUAGGGGAGCGAACGGG